rnacentral:rRNA from 1 species
AUUGAACGCUGGCGGCAGGCCUAACACAUGCAAGUCGCACGAGUGGCGGACGGGUGAGUAAUGUCUGGGAAACUGCCUGAUGGCGGGGGAUAACUACUGGAAACGGUAGCUAAUACCGCAUACCAUCGGAUGUGCCCAGCUGGGAUUAGCUAGUAGGUGGGGUAAAGGCUCACCUAGGCGACGAUCCCUAGCUGGUCUGAGAGGAUGACCAGCAAGACUGGAACUGAGACACGGUCCAGACGCCGACGGGAGGCAGGAGUGGGGAAUAUUGCACAAUGGGCGCAAGCCGGAUGCAGCCAUGCCGCGUGUAUGAAGAAGGCCUUCGGGUUGUAAAGUACUUGCAGCGGGGAGGCGUUACCCGCAGAAGAAGCACCGGCUAACUCCGUGCCAGCAGCCGCGGUAAUAC